GUGGAAUUGAGCCGUGUCUUGCUUCGCUGGUAAGACUUCCACCUGAGAGGCAGGCUGAGGGAGUGUCUUUAACAAAGACACAUAAAAAGGGAAGAAAACAAAUCUUAAAAAGUGGGCAGAUGGAUUAUUUCAUAUGUCCUCAGAAGCUGGGCAUCAAGAUUCCUUCAUUAGAGGCCAUGUCCGCUGUAUGCCAACAAUUCUUGAGAGUGAGUUUACACUGCCUACUGUUGGCAGAAAAUUGAGGCAGAAAAAUUUGAAGGACUUGACCACAGUGAUCGUCACUCUGCAACCAAGAUGGGAAAUAGAUUUUCAGCUUCCUGUCAUUCAGGGUAAUUUGCCAUUCACCAGACACGAACUAAGGUGUGGCCAAGUUCUAGCUGGAUGCAUAUCUGAAGUGAUAAUUUUGAUCAGCAUUUUAUAAAACAAGCCAAAUUCAAGUACUGUCUACAAUUGCUGCUAAUGGAAGAUACGUAAUGUCAUUUCAAACUGGCAUUCAGUGGACACAUAGUCCACAAAUAGCCACGAGAUUUGGUUUAAAAAUAAA